rnacentral:rRNA from 1 species
UACGGGGGGAGCAAGCGUUGUUCGGAUUUACUGGGCGUAAAGGGCGCGUAGGCGGCCACCGCAAGUCGAUUGUGAAAUCUCCGGGCUUAACCCGGAGAGGUCAACCGAUACUGCGGGGCUAGAGUGCGGAAGGGGCAACUGGAAUUCUUGGUGUAGCGGUGAAAUGCGUAGAUAUCAAGAGGAGCACCUGCGGCGAAGGCGGGUUGCUGGGCCGACACUGACGCUGAUGCGCGAAAGCUAGGGGAGCGAACGGG